AACGAACGCUGGCGGCAGGCUUAACACAUGCAAGUCGAGCGCCCCGCAAGGGGAGCGGCAGACGGGUGAGUAACGCGUGGGAAUCUACCGAGCCCUAAGGAAUAGCUCUGGGAAACUGGAAUUAAUACCUUAUACGCCCUUUGGGGGAAAGAUUUAUCGGGGUUUGAUGAGCCCGCGUUGGAUUAGCUAGUUGGUGGGGUAAAGACCUACCAAGGCGACGAUCCAUAGCUGGUCUGAGAGGAUGAUCAGCCACAUUGGGACUGAGACACGGCCCAAACUCCUACGGGAGGCAGCAGUGGGGAAUAUUGGACAAUGGGGGCAACCCUGAUCCAGCCAUGCCGCGUGAGUGAUGAAGGCCUUAGGGUUGUAAAGCUCUUUCACCGGGGAAGAUAAUGACGGUACCCGGAGAAGAAGCCCCGGCUAACUUCGUGCCAGCCGCCGCGGUAAAAC
rnacentral:rRNA from 1 species